UAAUACUACAGACGGAAACGGGCUGUAUAUCUGUGGUAUCGAAUUAGCGUUUAAGCGAACUGUAAGCUCGCCGACCACGGAGCCACCUAUUAGGUGGUUUUUUUUUAU
ncrna:unclassified sequences DTF3800-I RNA